CUCCCCCUCCCCACAACUAUCCUUCCCACCGUACGUGUGUGCACACGGCCCCCAGCACCCAAAUACACAAAUACAAACACGCACGCGCACCUGAGCACACACCCAGCGAGGACACGCGAGAUUUAACUAACCGAAGAAGGUGGAACUGACCAAAGACUCCCACAGACAGAUGCAGCAGGCUGGAGGUGGAUGUGAAAGCACACUUAUCUGCUCCCUAAAUUUAAAUAAAAAGCGAAAUGAAAUAAACCGAUCCCGGCAGAAGAGGAGGAACCCA